GUCUGGGUAACCGAAUUCGGAUUGGACGGUCGCUCUUCCUUACCAUUCAAAGAUCUGGCAAAGAUGUUUCUUAUUUUGCUUGUCUUGCUGUUUGCUGUCGUCCAAGCCCAAUCAUGCGGAAAAAAUCCGAUGCAGAACCUGAAGCAAUUUUCAAACACACUCGGCAUGGAGUCCGGCGAUAUUCUCGGGAUGUUAAAAGAUGGUUCACCGCCGGUCUAUCAGAGGAUCAUCGCAGAAAGACGGGCAUAUUAUGACUGCAUUCGAGCUUUUGAAUACGGCAUAUACAAACGUUCGAACCCGUCGAGAGUAAGGCAAGAGACCGCGAGUCAAGCACGUGACGACAUACGACAUGCUGAUGGGCAUCUUCUGUCACGUGCUCUUUAUGAUUCGGACAUAACCAGUACUCAUGCGACAUACAAACAAGGCAGAUUCAUCUCUGACGACGACAACGAUGAUAUCAUUUUCGAAUUAGUUAGAUAGCAUUCCACACAAGCCGUAUCUUUAAGAAAAAAUAAUAAGUAUUUUUCACUCGAAUAGGUUUGUUAAAUAUAUGCAGAUCCCGAUUAAUUUGUAAACAAAACAUCAUGUGGAUAAAUACUAUUGAAAAACGAGUUCAAUGAUUUGCCUUUUUGUCAUAAAAAUGUUCUGAACAUGGACAUGUGAUUUAAUCAUAAUGUUCAUAGCUUGACUACAUUAUCCUGACACUAAACUGAACGAAGGAAUAUAUUAAAGUGCAGUAAAAAUAAAUACAUGCGUGUCCGCAUUGGAAGCGAGCUCAAUUGAUUAAAGCGCUUGACCUUAACAUGAAUGAAUAAAAUUAAAUUAAAAAUCCGUAUUUUCCGUGCACGAGAUAUGAUUUAAAUGUAGAACACAAUAAAUGCACGUAAUUUAUUCUCAUAUAUUUCACGAAUGCCAGGUUUCUGUCUCAACGCGAUAACAGGAAUAAGCCAUACAGACAUUAUAAGAAGCAGAUAUGGUCGUGCAUUAUUCAACAUUCAACUUAAUAUAGUAGUGACAUCAUAUUCCU